CAAUGGGAUGACCGGAGGCAGUAUGUGCAAUCAGUUUGUUGCAUUCCUGUUAUGCUAACAUGAGCUAACGUUAGCAACCGUUAGCUAACGUAACGGAUCACCAGUGGCUGAAACCUUGGACCAGACAGUCUGUCCAGACAGUCGUCAACACUUAUGAUUUUUCAUCUGGGGCUGCUCCUUGUUACAUGUGCUUUGGGCUGAUCUGUCCUCAAGUGUACCUGAGUACUGAGUUUCCUCGAACUUCAAAGACAUUUCGGAUCAAACAUAGUAUUGAGGGGCACUACAGCUAUCCAAGGUGGGAACCAACAGACUUUUCUUGGUCUUGAGAAGCCAACACACUGUAACAGACACCUGAUUGCCCUGUACAGGCAGAAGAAGGCCAAGAGAGCAGAGAUCCUCAGGAUUUAUGACCUACAGGAACAACACGAGGUGCACAUGAGAUGUCAUCCGACCCUCCAUGGCCUCCCAGUGAACCUGCUAGCGGAUGACUGAUGUCUUCAAAACCUGCACUGUCCUGCGACCGCCUCAUCUCCUCCACCAGAGCGCGAGGAUCAGACAGAGGGGAGUGUAGGAGGCAGGGAGAACAACAGCAGCAUCACUGUCAGCCGUCUCCCUCACUGGGGGAGAGAGGGAGAAAAAGAGAGAGGUGGGGAGAGAAGAAGUGGAGAGAGUGAC